UAGCAAAAGUUAGAAGAUGAAGAGGAGUGUUUAUUUUUCUUUACCAUAUAUGUCUUUAUAUAACAAAAUAUUGUGAAAUAGGAAUAAAUAAUUUAAGCUGUUUUUGGAUUUACAUUGCUAGCUAACAUUACUUAUUUACUUAGAUCAGCCUGCCUAGUCAGCUAGCCAGACAGUUUUGUUUGGCCGACGUUAGCUAGCUAGCUAAUUGUUUUUGUUUCUUUCAUUUUGUAUGUAAGUAACGUUUGCUUGCACUUCACUGGCAUCCCUCGAGGAGAUGUUAUUUUAUCUUUCCAAACAGGCGAAGUAUUAUGAAGGCACCAAUGAUCUCGACAAUAGGCACAACAUUCAUAGGGGUCAGAUUUUCACUAUUCAGGGUAAAGUUAAGCAGUUCGCUUCUAUUACAUAACUGGAAGGAUUUAGCUAUGAACAACCAUUUUUCAACAACCAUUUUCCAUCUAGGUAGUUGGUCAUCUAGAAGUUGCUAGUUAUACAUUUAGUUAUAUGUCUGUCAUAUUGAGGUAUCUAGCUAUACGUUAACUCUGAUAAAUCAAAUUGAUGGGUCUAAGCAAUUAUGGUCAUUCCAACUGUCCUUAACUAGGUGUCUUUGCUAGACACACACAGAGAGAGAGGGGGGAGAGGGAGAAAUAAAGGAUGAAAGUGAGAGUGAAAGACAGAGAGAUGGGGGGAGAGAGAGACAGAGAAAGUAAGUUGUGCAUGCAAAAUUACAUAGACUUUUGUAUUUCAACAACUUUUGUCUUCAAACUUGUUAGGCAAUCACAUGUACCUACGGGGGAAGGAUGUCCAGCCACACAGGAGGGUACUUUUCACUGAGGAGGAGACGGAGACCAUGCUGACCGAUGCAUGUUGGCCAUUUCGGAGUCAAGCGCAUGAUUGCCAAAAUCAACAUACACUUCUUUUGGCAUGGGAUUGUCAAAGAAGUGGACAGCUGGGCAAGUGAAAUAACAGUUUGUUUAUCGAUCACAUUCUAUUAUAUCUGAAAUUAUUUUGAUUUCAAUGAACGUCAUCAGAGAGAACACAAUGUUUAAAUUUGUCACCUUGUGUUUAAAGGUGAGUACAUGUCUAGCCUGAUGGCGACCGAUUAUUUUACCAAUUGGGUGGAGGCAAUACCCAUUAAGCUCUGCAAAUGAAGAGAACGUGCUUAACUCUAAAUUCCCUUCUGUAACCCAUUUAAAAAGGGUGCUUGGAACCAAAAAUGUAUUUUCUUUUGUAUGAUACCCAUCAAUGACCAGACUGGCGAGGCCACCUCCAAGGCGAUGAUGGACAUCUUCAAACACCCAUGGUUCUCCAGAGGUCAUCUUGAGUGACCAAGGUCGUAAACUCUGGAACAAGAUAUCCCUUUCCUAGCCCCUCAUCCAGGUGUGGAUGAACAGACAAACCACACCCUCAAGACUGCCAUGGGCAAGUCCCUUGACUGGUUCCAAGAAUGGUGGGAGGACAACCUGAAGGUAAUUAUCUUUGCACACAACAGCAGCAUCCAGGCCUCCAGAGUACUCACCCUAUCGCCUACUGUACGGACGGGAGUUGCAGCUGUUUACUGAGGUAUACAAUGAAAUUGUAUAUAAAAUUAUUGCCUAUACUGUAGUCUAAAAAAUGUGUGAUUGACUUUGUGUUUUUCUAUUGCUAUUUUUGUAUAACGUACUUUGAGGUCACUGAUACUCCACCUGAUGUGGUGGAAGUUGUCGAACCAGAUCAGAACACCUUUCAAGGACCACCUUCAGGCACGGACAGUUUUUUUUUACCAGGUGAGACUGAACAUGGACAAGGCGCAGGAGAAACAGAAGGAGAGCCACCGGAGGAGAAUCAAGGGGACCAAGUGAUUCGACAUCCGGGUGAAUUACUUGGCUUGGAAGAAGGACAAAAGGAAGGCGAGACCUGGGAUAGCUUGGUGCUCUUUCGCUCCUAGCUGGGGUCCCCAUCCGUUAAGGGACCAUCCUUUAUAACCCCACUGACAUCAACAAUUAGACAGGACCUAGGGGUUCUGCCUAACACUCAGACAUGGAUCCACCUGAUGUCCUCCAUUACCAACAACCCUCCCAACUUUUCAUUACAUCAUCUACAGCUACUGUUAAUGUCAUGUUGUCAUUAUCUGCUAAGAAAGAGCAAGAAAACUAUCAUACUGGGCACAAUUUGAGAUACACAGAUUAGCUAAAAACACUAGCACUGCAAACACUCAGAACAAAGAGGGCAGCAGCGCCUGGAAUUUGCAGUUUCCCUAUUCGAGUCCACCUUCCAAAACUGACUACCUUUUGAAAAACUAAUGACAGGCAGAACCUCCCAUCCACACAAUACCCACCUCCUCUCUAUUCCACACACCAGAAUUCUGUAUUUCAGUCUAUGAUUGCCAUGUGAGUGUACAACAAAUCUGAAAGUAAAUUGACACACAUGUAGCAAACAAAUAUCAAUGGUUAUGUAUUUAAAUCUAAAAUAUUGCUAGAUUGAUUUUCACAGCUGUUUCAUAAGGUGUUCUUUAUUGUAAAUUGUAACGUAUCCCUUGAUUGUAUUUCUUAUUUCAACAUUAUUAAUUGUAUCGUAAGACAUAUAAUAGAUAUAUAUUCAAACACAAGGGUGUACUGAAGAGCUAUGAUUUUUUUAAAUCAUAAUUGAGGACUGAAAUUAUUUCAGUGUAGAAUGCCUGUUUAAAAUAAAAACAUGCCAGCCAGACAAGCCAGUGUAUGAAUCAAAUGUAUUUGCAUAUGAAUGGAGUGGAAAUUAGCUCACUUUGUGAUCUGUAAGGUAAGUAACAUUAAUGUGGGGGGGGGGGCAUUGAAAUUAUAUUAUAUUUACCCUGAUGCCUGUUCAUUCAUAAAUAGCAGAAGAUGGUAAAUAACAUUAAUCACAAUGGUUAGCCUAUGCAAAUUAAUAGGAAUACAUUUAGCCUAAUUGGAACAAAUAUGAUGUGGGGGAAAGUCGGGAUCCUAGUCAGGCUUUUGUUUGUCAAUUCCAGAUGAAAUAUAGGUCUUCAUGUGUAUCAAAUCUGUAGGCAAUUGUGGGCUAAAUCAUUGACAAACAGCUUAAAUGUACAGGCUUCAACAUGAACUGUGAUCAAAACAGGCUGGAGUGUUUUCAGUUCCGUUUAGUCAUAAGAUAUGCGUAAGAACGCAACUGCACUGAAAUGAAUAGCCUGAUUCAAUGAGAUUCUCCUGAAUAAUGCAUGUUUUUAUCUGUUAAGCUGUUUGGUCUAUGCAUAGACCCAUACCGAUUCUAACAGCCGUAUUUACCUCCCGCUGUUGAUAGCGGGAGGUACAAGUGUCUCCUGGCAGCACCUGUAGGAGAGCAGAACCAGGAGGGCCAGGUUCACCUCAGUGACAGGUUGCCUUGAGUCCACAGACCAAUCAGAAGAAAGGGAUACCAUUCUAGUUCUUUCCAUUGUGGGGAUUGUGGUGGCAUUGCUGAUAUUCACCAUCAGCUAUGUCAUCCUAAGGAAUAUGUUAUUGCAAAGGAGUAAGAAGUAUCCACAAGAACCACUUCUAGAUGCACCCCUUGAGAAGAAAGAUUUAAUGUUGAUCUACACUCCGGGGCCAAACUGGUCGAGACAGGGUUCCAUAAAACAUGUCUGUGUGUGAGAGCCUGUUCUGCUAGUUUGGGCUCAUUGUAUACUUGAACGUAAAGAGGAAAUGCAGAGAAAGACUAGGGCACGUUUGAAGCUGUGCAAGGAGCCUAAGAGUUAUGUCUACUUUCCAGGAGAAGAAUUCAUCUUUAGAGCAGAUGGAGGCAGACAACCCUCUGGCCGGUCCUGUAGAACUAAGAUGUUUAGGCUUUUCAAAGAAAUGAAACAGAAACAGUAACCUACACCCUUUCACUCAGGCAGCAAAAAACAGCAGUACAGCCAGGCUAGGGCAGCAGUUCUCCAGAAACGAGUGCCUGUCUGCAGCAUCCAAGUGCCUGUGAUGCGCAAGGAGCAGGGCCUGGUGAAGGGACGCCACGAUCUAAGCCCCAAGAUCUAACCCCAACAAGGAACUUCAGGAAAGGGAGAAGGAAUUACUUCAUGAUAAGGGGUCAUACUGCAGGGUCGCUCCAUGGCAAUGUUGGGGUUAAUACCAUUUGCAUUUCAGUCAACCCAGUCAAUUGAAGUUGACAUUGAUGUUGAACUGGAAAAUGAUCAAUGUGUACUGCAUUAAAUUUCAUGCCUAAUUAAAUUCCUGUAUUGACUGGUAUUAAAAUGGAAUUGAUCUGAGCACUGUUUCAUGGGGCUCAACCGUGUUGGAAGGGUUUGGUGGGACACGCUGGACUCUGCACAGAGAGAUGAAACCAACCAAGACUGCAUUCCAUCUGAGCCAAGCAAAGCUCACAAUUAACUCUAAAGUUCAGGCAUUACCGAUAACUUUUAAGUUAGUUUGUGAAGCCAAAACAGUAUAUCAUUUUUUUUAUGCAGAACGAAAAAAUAUAAUUUUCAUCCAAGCAAUACAAAAGUGGGCUUUGGUGAAUAUUGACAAAAAGUAAUUGACAGAAAAUAAACUUUUUAUAAAACAUUAUCCAGUUUUUGAAUAUGAUCAGCAAUUCUGUGUAUACGUUGAA